CAGCACCUCAAGUGGUCAGGAUGAUUAUUGGGCCUAAAGCAUCCGUAGCCGGCGCUGUAAGUUUUCGGUUAAAUCUGUACGCUCAACGUACAGGCUGCCGGGAAUACUGCAGCGCUAGGGAGUGGGAGAGGUAGACGGUACUCGGUAGGAAGGGGUAAAAUCCUUUGAUCUAUUGAUGACCACCUGUGGCGAAGGCGGUCUACCAGAACACAUCCGACGGUGAGGGAUGAAAGCUGGGGGAGCAAACCGGAUUAGAUACCCGAGUAGUCC
rnacentral:rRNA from 1 species